UGGUUAUAAACUGUUAUUCUUUACUUUCUUAUGGAAAAAAUUACAAGGGUUACAGAAUAGUAAAUAACUUCUCUCACCCUAAUUAGGAUUUGCAUUAUGCAAUUAAGAGAGACUGGUAUGCUAUUUAUAAGAAAACUAACAUACUAACCUAAUAGGAUUUUACACAAAAGCCCAUUACACAAGCUAACUUAGAGAACAAGUUAACUUAAACAAUUGAGCAUAACAAACAAGUUCAAUUCGACAUGCUAACAAUCUUAGCACACUUCGACUACAGCAUGUGAGCAGACUUCGACGACAUGAUAAGGUCUUGUCAAACUGUCGAACCAAGAAGCUACCCUUCGAUCAUACUAGAGUUCGAUUCAAUAUCUCACAGAUUUCCACCUUUGAUCAAACUUUAUAACAUCAAGGGAACAAACUAGGUUUCUUCAUGCAACUUUAUCAACUGCAUACAGUGGAAAGUUUUGCAAAUUGGUAAUGUCUUGGUGAUCAUAUCAGCAGCAUUGUGAUUUGUCGAAACCUUCAGCAUUU
rnacentral:lncRNA from 1 species